rnacentral:hammerhead_ribozyme from 1 species
AUCCGAUUGAACAGUCCCAAAUAGGAUGAAACGUGCGUCCUGAAU